UCCUUGGGUUUUCCCACCCCCGUGGAGGCUCUGUGGGUGCAGCUUUCAGACCUCUGCACCUCUCCUUUAGCCCUGGUGACAACAAUGCAAUGUCCAAGAUGUCAGCCAGUUUUAAGGAGGAUAGAUGAGAUUGUGGGCGACUUUUAUUUAUUUACUUUUAUAUCUCUUACACAUUUUCUUGCACAUUUUUCAGUAACAAACAAGAGCAGAGGCGGAAGAAGGUGGCGUCAUAAGUGCAGCCUUGGGCAGCUGGUGGUGGCCUGGUGGGUUGCUUAGGGACAACACGCCUCAGUUUCCUCCUCGCUGAAGUGUGGAUAAUAAUGCUACCGACCUCAUUGGUAAAUUCUGAGGCUUCGUUGUAGGCCAAGCUCAGUAAAUUGUAACCACUGUGGCUUUACAUUAACAUUAUACUCAGAAAAAUUCUAAAAGUUCCUGUUAUGGGCUGAAUUGGUCCCCCCACCUCUUAACAUUUAUUUGUUGACGUCAGCCCUCAGGACCCAAGAAUGUGACCGUGUCAGUCAGCUUCCCGUCACUGUAACAAAAUAGCUGAGAUAAUUUACUUAUAAAGGGAAAAGACUUUAUUUUAACUUACAGUGUUAGAAGUUCCAGUUCAGUGUGAAGUGGACCAUUGCUUUGGGCUUCUGGUGGGUGAACAGCUCAACUCACAGCCAGGGAGCUAAAGAGGAAGAGCCCAGGGUCCCACGGUUCCCUUUAGGGCCGUGCCUCCGGUGACCUAAAGACCUGCCCUAGGCUUCACUUCUUAAGGUUUCCAUCACCUCUCAGUGCCACUUUGGGGACCAAGAUUUAAUAUGCAGUCUUUGGGGGAGCAGUCAACAUCUGAUCUUGAGUAGAGACUGUAUUUGAAGCUAGGAUCUUUAAAGAGGUAAUCCAGCUUAAAUGACAUCAUAAAGGUGUGGUCCUAGUCCACCAGGAUGAGUGUCCUUCUAAAAAGAGGUUAGGGCAUGAGGAAUGUGUGCCCACAGAGGAAGGACCCCAUGGAGAGGUGGCCAGAAAGCAGCCACCUCUGAGCCAAGGAGAGAGGCCUUGGGAGAAGCCAAACCUGCCAGCGCCUUAAUCUUGUACAUUCUGCCUGCAGAACUGUGAGAGAGUAAGUUUUUGUUUAUGCCACCAGUAUGGGACACUUUAUCAUGAAAGCCCUGGGAAAGUGAUAUAGUUUUGACAAGAACAAGAACAGGGGUAUCGGUGUGGCUCAUGGCUUAGAUCUCUGCCCUGAGCUCCUGCAGGAGCACCUGAUGCAGCCUGCUCAGCCCUGGAGCUUCCCCACCUUCCCGGGCGCCCAGUGUCAGUAUGAUGUCCUCAAACUCUGCUGCACUCCACACUUGUGCCUCACCAGCCACCCCCUGCCAGCAAUUCUCCCUCAGCUCCAUAUCAAAGAAGUUUGCUUUUUUUUUGCUUUCUGGAGCCUUGACCAGUACUUUCCCUUAUAAGGUACCCUCUUUCUUGAAAGUGCAUCUGAGCUUGGAUGAAGUGGUUUUCCUGUCUCCAAAGGCCAUCAAGAGUUUUGUGCCUGCUCUACCUGGACCACUAAUAUGAUGGUCUCUUAAGUGAUCUGUUGAAUCCAAGGAAAUGUAUUCUGUGCUUCCUGGGUCCCAGGCAUAGCCAGCCCUCUGUCAAGAGCACAGGAAAAGCAGUUGUUGGUGUUGUUAGAGGAAAGUGAGCCGGCUCAGCCUUAGAGCGAAGUACUACAGCUGUGUCACAGCUACAACAGUUUGAACACAUGAGAAUCCGAAAGCCACUGAAAGAGGCGAAGAAAAACCAAGCUUUAUGUAGCCGGCUGGCUUAGAGGAGUUUUAAGCACCCUGAAUUCUGAGCCCAGAGGUGUGAAAGGCAGCCACUGCAUGAUGUAAAAGCGGCAAGAGUCACGGGGGAGCCGUGAGCCCUGCCACUGCCUGUAGCAUGAGCACAGCUCUCCACUUUUUCACCUGAAGUCUUUUUUCUUCAUAUCACACCAGUGGUCACGGCUCCAGUGACCACAUCUCUGAGGAGAACUGGACUGGUAAGAACCCUCCUGAUGGGAUGAGGGACUGAGGGUGCUGUCCCAUCUCAGGGAAGUGAGCUCAGGCAGCCCAUGUGUUGUACUUGGCAUGCGCACUUCUGCUCCUCUCCAGAGACACCACCAUGGCCGCACCUCCUGGAAGCUUCUGUCUCCUGUGGGUCUGGUCUCUCUUGUAAACUUCGUGUCCAGGAUUUGGUCCUCCCUGUACUAAGUCAGUGUGAUGUCUGAGGGUAAAGCCACAGAUCUAGCCAGCACCUCAGCCUGGCCUCUGGCCGCAGGUGGGGUGAGGAGUCGCGUGUCUUUGGGGGUGCUUAGCACUUUACUAUGAAGGACUCUCCUUAGGAGCAACUGGAUGGAAACGCAUAGGGCAAGGUAUAGGAUCGGGAAGGAGUGUGUGCCUUCCAUGCCCUCCCUGUGCAGGCCACAUCCUCAGCCCCAGCUUCUGUCUAAAAAUGUCUGGGCUGGGUUAAGUCUUGAAAAAGAUCAAUCUGGGGAGAAGUGACACCCUAACAGUGGUGCGUCUCCUGAC